rnacentral:sRNA from 1 species
AUUUAUUAAAUAUUAUUUGUCGAUGUUCACAUGUACAUUAUGUGGUAAUCUUUAGAUAUUUCGAUACCUACAUCAAAUUUGGAUGUUGAGCUUCUUCUUAAGUCCGAGAAGAGUAAAGAAAUUAGUGAGCGUGCUAUUAAAUAUUGCUGGACAGCUGAUGAAGUUUCUUGAGGAAUCUGACGAGCUCCGAUUGCGUGCUUUUCUUACUCUCAAAAGAUUUAACACUUCUAUAUUGGCUUGCGAUGUAGAAGCCAUGAAGGUAUGUAUUGAAAAACCGAAAAUCUAAGAUUUCUAUUCGUUAAUAAGAAAUGAUAAGUAAAUUU